rnacentral:tRNA from 1 species
GGGCCCUUAGCUUAGUCUGGCUUAAAGCGUUCCGCUCAUAACGGAAUGAUCGCUGGUUCAAAUCCUGCAGGGCCCA